rnacentral:rRNA from 1 species
UACGUAGGGUGCGAGCGUUGUCCGGAAUUAUUGGGCGUAAAGAGCUCGUAGGCGGCUUGUCACGUCGGGUGUGAAAGCUUGGGGCUUAACUCCAGGUCUGCAUUCGAUACGGGCUGGCUAGAGGUAGGUAGGGGAGAACGGAAUUCCUGGUGUAGCGGUGAAAUGCGCAGAUAUCGGGGAGGAACACCGGUGGCGAAGGCGGUUCUCUGGGCCUGUACUGACGCUGAGGAGCGAAAGCGUGGGGGAGCGAACAGG